rnacentral:misc_RNA from 1 species
GAUGAAGAACGCAGCGAAAUGCGAUACGUAAUGUGAAUUGCAAAUUCAGUGAAUCAUCGAGUCUUUGAACGCACAUUGCGCCCCCUGGUAUUCCGGGGGGCAUGCCUGUCCGAGCGCCAUUGCUGCCCUCAAGCACGGCUUGUGUGUUGGGCCCCGUCCUCCGAUCCCGGGGGACGGGCCCGAAAGGCAGCGGCGGCACCGCGUCCGGUCCUCGAGCGUAUGGGGCUUUGUCACCCGCUCUGUAGGCCCGGCCGGCGCUUGCCGAUCAACCCAAAUUUUUAUCCAGGUUGACCUCGGAUCAGGUAGGGAUACCCGCUGAACUUAAGCAUAUCAAUAAGCGGAGGA